rnacentral:rRNA from 1 species
AAUAGAUACCCUGGUAGUCCACGCCGUAAACGAUGAGUGCUAAGUGUUAGAGGGUUUCCGCCCUUUAGUGCUGCAGCUAACGCAUUAAGCACUCCGCCCGGGGAGUACGGCCGCAAGGCUGAAACUCAAAGGAAUUGACGGGGGCCCGCACAAGCGGUGGAGCAUGUGGUUUAAUUCGAAGCAACGCGAAGAACCUUACCAGGUCUUGACAUCCUCUGACACUCCUAGAGAUAGGACUUUCCCCUUCGGGGGACAGAGUGACAGGUGGUGCAUGGUUGUCGUCAGCUCGUGUCGUGAGAUGUUGGGUUAAGUCCCGCAACGAGCGCAACCCUUGAUCUUAGUUGCCAGCAUUCAGUUGGGCACUCUAAGGUGACUGCCGGUGACAAACCGGAGGAAGGUGGGGAUGACGUCAAAUCAUCAUGCCCCUUAUGACCUGGGCUACACACGUGCUACAAUGGAUGGUACAAAGGGCAGCGAAGCCGCGAGGUGGAGCCAAUCCCAUAAAACCAUUCUCAGUUCGGAUUGCG